AGAAUUCGUUUCAUAUCUUGAACGUCAAGGUUGUAAACAAAAUGAAACUAACAUUGAAAUUGUUCAGAAGGUACAGAUUUUCCGAUCCUACGAGUUUUAGGUCAAAAUACAGAGUAUAUGGACAAUUCCUUAAGUUUUUUAUUGCAUGGAACGGCAUAGGCUAUUUGAUCUACAAGUUCAUGCAAAGAAAUACGAGAGAAAAAGAUCCAGAAUUUGAUAAUAAAUCAUCAGGUCAACAAGUUAUGAGCAUGAUGGGUUAUACAGAUGCACCUACAAAGUACGUGUUCAAAUAUGACAAAGAAAAGGGGUUUACUCUAAACAAAGUUAGUGCCCAAAACAGUAAUCAAGCAGACAAUACCAAUGCUGGGAACUCCGAACAAAUUAAAGAUGUACCAAGCUGAGAGAUAUCAUCAAUAGACAGAAAAUGUGCCAAUUUCGGGAUUCUCCUCAAGUCGUAUGUGUACUGCUGGUAAUCGCAUUUUUGCAUUCAAUCCUCAGAGUCAGCAUCGAAAAGUCAUCAAGAGUUUGUGUGUGUAGCUGAAGAACAAUUUAGCCAUUCUCUGAAACACCCAGGGUAGUGCAUGUGUGUAAAGUAUUGUCAAAGAUAAUCGUGUGCUGUUCUGUCCACAAAGGAUUAUCAGGAAUGACGCUCUGCCCAUUUUUAACCAGGUUUUCCGAAGGAAAAAACUGGUUAUUAGAUUGGUGAAUGCGGGCGGGCUGGCUGGCGGGCGGGCGGAACAAGCUUGUCUGGGCCAUAACUACGUCGUUGUCAGAUUUUAAAAUAAUUUGGCACAUUUGUUCACCAUCAUUAAAUGGUGUGUCGCGCAAAAGAAUUACGUCGAUAUCUUCAAGGUCACACUUUGAGUUCGAAGGUCAAAAAUGGCCAUAAAUGAGCUUGUCCUGGCCAUAACUAUGUCAUUCAUUGUCAGAUUUUAAAAUCAUUUGGCACAUUUGUUCACCAUUAUUGGGCGGUGUGUCGCGCGAAAAAAUUAUGUAGAUAUCUCCAAGGUCAAGGUCGCCACGACUAAAAAUAUAUUAAUUUUGAAACAAGGGGGGUAACUGUGAUGAACAAUCAGUAGCAAUGCACAUUUUGCACAUAUAGUUGUCUCCCUUUAUCAGACUUAUUUUUUUUUUGAAAACCUGGUUUUGUGUUAAUUUUGUCCCUUGUUGGAUUUUUUAUGGCCUACAACAUGAUCAUGGUUAGCGUUUGUGAUCACAUUUUGUCCAUUGUUUGUUGUCAACAUUUACUAUAUGAACUCUAGCUGCCACAUUUAUCGUCCAAUCUAGGUUAAUACAUUUGUCCCAAUUUUAUCUUGGCUAACUUAAAACUGGGUCACUUGAGGUCAAAAGGUAGUCCAUUCUUCCUGAAACUUGGUCAGAACAUUUGUUCUAAUGAUUUCUGAGCUGAGAACGCGACUCUUUUAUGCACAUGCAAUAUGCCCUGUUUUUCCUGAGUGUGCCUCAUACUGUUAUGUAUUAUUGCUUCAUAUGGUUGAUGUUCUUAGUUAAAGUCUCAAAAAAGUGUUGGGAUAACAUUUGCACAUUGUUUAUUCAAUAUAUUUGUUAAUGAACUUACUGUCACACGACGACACGUGUUGGCAUCACUGCAAGUGACACUUUAUGCCAAUAUUAUAUAUUAACAAACUCUUGUUGCUCAGCAAUUUUUAACGCUUUAUUAUGCAUUGGGAUGA